rnacentral:rRNA from 1 species
AGAGUUUGAUCCUGGCUCAGGACGAACGCUGGCGGCGUGCUUAACACAUGCAAGUCGAACGAAGAGCGAUGGAAGCUUGCUUCUAUCAAUCUUAGUGGCGAACGGGUGAGUAACGCGUAAUCCACCUGCCCUUCAGAGGGGGACAACAGUUGGAAACGACUGCUAAUACCGCAUACGAUCUGACCUCGGCAUCGAGGAUGGAUGAAAGGAGGCCUCUAUUUAUAAGCUAUCACUGAAGGAGGGGAUUGCGUCUGAUUAGCUAGUUGGAGGGGUAACGGCCCACCAAGGCGAUGAUCAGUAGCCGGUCUGAGAGGAUGAACGGCCACAUUGGGACUGAGACACGGCCCACACUCCUACGGGAGGCGGCAGUGGGGAAUCUUCCGCAAUGGACGAAAGUCUGACGGAGCAACGCCGCGUGAGUGAUGACGGCCUUCGGGUUGUAAAGCUCUGUUAAUCGGGACGAAAGGCCUUCUUGCGAAUAGUUAGAAGGAUUGACGGUACCGGAAUAGAAAGCCACGGCUAACUACGUGCCAGCAGCCGCGGUAAUACGUAGGUGGCAAGCGUUGUCCGGAAUUAUUGGGCGUAAAGCGCGCGCAGGCGGAUUGGUCAGUCUGUCUUAAAAGUUCGGGGGCUUACCCCCGGUGAUGGGGAUGGAGACUGCCAAUCUAGAGUAUCGGAGAGGGAGAGUGGUAUUUCCUAGUGUAGCGGUGAAAUGCGUAGAUAUUAGGACGAUCACCUGUGGCGGAGGGCUAGUUUUCUAGGACGAGAUCUGACGCUGAGGGCGCGAAAGGCUGGGGGAGCGAGCGGCAUU